rnacentral:lncRNA from 1 species
AGGAUUCCUGGGCUGGGGACAGGGAGAGGAAGAAGAGAAAGAUCCGCCAUGCUGGAAAAAGGAGAACUAAGAUGCCACACCCGAGAAGCUCAGGACAGAGAACAUAGCCGCCAUAUUGGAGGGACUCCAUCCAAUAAAGGCAAAUAAAGAGAGCCUGAAAGUAUAGCUUGGCACCUACGCAGCAAGCCACUCCUGUCUACAGUGCUCAUGAACCUUCCAGAAUCAUGGAGAAGACCUGCCGUGCAUGGCCCUUAUUGCAAACUGAAAGUGUUUCGAGGCCCAAGGUGGAAAGAAAAAAAAAAGAAGAAAGCAAACCUGGGAAACACAGAAUUCAUUCAGCCCCUUGUAGUCCCGCACUUUGGUCACAGAGGAAACAUCCCCUGACAGCCUGGUGUUCGAAUCUAAUGUGGUCAAAGCAAACUAUGGAGCCGGACCUAUGCAAAUCUCUACAGAAACUCGAGGUUAGAUGUAUUUUACACUAAGUAACACUCAGGGGCCAUCUUCUUGGGAUUGUACUUUAAUAGAAAAUAUGCCAGAGAGGCUAGGGAAAAUUAAGAAAAAUAUAAAUUUAAGUCAGAGAUCGGAAUGGUAAUUUGUGUGAGGGGGAAGAAAACCACAAGCGCUCCCCCCCUCACACUGCCUUGAAAGCGUGGAUGAUUUCAGAAUCCCACCCUACGAGAAAGCAAGGAGAUGCAGGGUUUGGAGUUAAGAAACGUAAGUGUCUCCAGUCCCCAGCUGCACAUUAAACUAAUGUCAAGUUGAAGGAAAUCGUAUUGCUGCUGAGGCUGGAGAAAGAUGUCGGAGUGCAAUAAUUAAUGGUGCAGGUUUGAAGGAGAAAGGCUGCCAGGCUAAUGGAACCUGAAGAGAGGUAAAACUCCUCCUGUCCAGAGACAAGACACUUUCCCACCCAACAUAGGAGAAAAGCCUUCCCUUAAAGUAGAGAGGAACCCUUCGAAACCUUCCCUGUGAAAGCCAGGCCUCGGUUGACUUGUGUGGGACUUGCAGGUCACCACCCAUGUGAGUGGCAAGCAGGCCUUGCUGACAGGACAAGCCCUGAAACCAGACCUGGCCAUUUCUGGUUCUCUAUCAAAAUGAAACCAAAAAGUUCUUCAACCCCAUGAAAAUAAGCGGGAGAAACCCUGUCUCGAAAAACCAAAACCAAAAAAAAGAGAGAGAAAGAGCGAGAGAAGAAAAUAAGUGGGAAAAAGUCACUCCCUGGACAAGGUUUCAAAGCUCACAGCCUUUUAAUAAAGCCAAUGUCUAUGAAAAGGGUUAACCUGUUGUUUAGAAAUGGAAAAUUUUGUUGCUGAAUAAAAAAGUGACUGUAAUUGAAAAAAAAA